rnacentral:antisense_RNA from 2 species
CUUCAGCGAACCCAGCCACAACGGCCGCCCGGCGGGCCUGUCCUGGCCGUACGUGGCCAGCAGCGCCUGCGCCUC